GAUGAACGCUAGCGGGAGGCUUAAUACAUGCAAGUCGAGCGGUAAGGUUUCGGACCCUAGAGCGGCGAACGGGUGAGUAACGCGUACGAAACCUACCUUUAAGAGAGGGAUAGCCCUGGGAAACUGGGAGUAAUACCUCAUAGUAUUCAAUAACCGCAUGGUUUAUGGAUUAAAGCUGCGGCGCUUAAAGAUGGUCGUGCGUCUGAUUAGCUAGUUGGCGGGGUAACGGCCCACCAAGCCUUCGAUCAGUAGCUGAUGUGAGAGCAUGAUCAGCCACACGGGCACUGAGACACGGGCCCGACUCCUACGGGAGGCAGCAGUAAGGAAUAUUGGUCAAUGGACGCAAGUCUGAACCAGCCAUGCCGCGUGGAGGAUGAAGGCCCUCUGGGUUGUAAACUUCUUUUCUUUUGGGACGAAGCCCCUGUUUCUACGGGGACUGACGGUACCAGAGGAAUAAGCACCGGCUAACUCCGUG
rnacentral:rRNA from 1 species